rnacentral:RNase_P_RNA from 1 species
GAAGUAAACCGGGUGGCCGCCGCCCCGGUGUCAUGCCGGGGGGGAGGAAAGUCCGGGCUCCACAGGGCAGGAUACUCCGUAACGCGGAGCGGGGGCGACCCCAGGGAAAGUGCCACAGAAAAGACACAGCCUACCCGGCGUUCGCGCCGGCGGUAAUGGUGAAAAGGUGGGGUAA